CUGCAGACGAUGAGACAACAAACAAACAAAACCAAGAAACUAAAAGCAGAACACAUCUUAAUAAGCAAGAGAAACCUACACAGAAUUUAGAACACACAGAGACAUGGGUUUGGAUUCAGUGGGAGAUUUAGCUCUCAACAUAAUCUUAACAAAAUUGGGUCCAAAAGAGACAGCAAAAGUAUCAUCUGUUAGCAAGAGGUUCAAGGAUUUAGCCUCUGAGGAAUCUCUCUGGUCAUUAUUUUGCCUUAAAGAUCUAGAUCUAUCUGCCCCUCUUGACCAUCAUGGAAACCCUUUACCCUCUUUUAAGGCAACUUAUAAAUUAUGGAGAGAAGCAUUUUGCAUGUAUCCAUGGUCCCUUGUAAAGCGAGUUAAAAGUUGUUGGGACAGACUGAAGAGCUGGUUGGGCACAAACUUUCCUGAAGUUAAGGCUACUCUUGGAAGGGGUGCAUCAGAAGAUGAGAUUCAAGAGUUUGAAAGAAUUUUGAAAGUUAAGCUGCCUCUUCCCACGAGACUUCUCUACCGCUUUCAUGAUGGUCAAAACUUAACAGGUGAAAAUUUGAACACAGAUGUGGCUGACUGUCUAUUGGGCCUGAUAGGUGGCUACUGUUUUUAUGAUCACUUGGUUAAUGUCUACUUAUUACCCCUACGCGAGGUGAUCUUGGAAACACAGGAGAUAGCACGCCACCUGGACUUACCCAAUGGAUCACAGUUUAUUGUUGUGGCUGCCUCAUCCUCAUACAAUGGAAAGUUUUUCUUCCUGAACUGUUCUGAUGGCCAACUUUAUGUUGGGACUCAGAAUCUUCUGACAAUUGGAGAAAUGAUCCCAUGUGUACCUCAGGCAUUAAUUAGUCCAGUCCAUGAUUUCAACGUUGACCAACAACAGGAUGCUAUGCUGUUAUGGUUAGAAGAACAUGGCCAUCGCUUGCAGAAUGGCAUGAUCAAACUUCGGGAUGAAGGAAAUAUCAAAAGUCUCUCUCUUUUUCCAGAAGAAUCUCCUCUCUGCUCAACUGCUGUAACCAGUGGUGUAAAGGUUCGCGCUUCUGCUAUUUUUGUGCCAGAGGCUGUUGAUCUGCUAGAUAUCUCUAGAAAAUACUUGUUUGCUUAUUCAAUCCGCAUGUCCCUUCCACCAGAAGGAUGCAUCAUCAAUGGAAUGCACUUCAACUCUUGCCAACUGCAUUUGAGGCACUGGGUUAUCAGUGCCAAUGAUACUGUUGUAUCCAAUAUCAACGCAGAGGCUGUGAUAGGCAAGUUCCCACUCUUACUUCCAGGUGAGAAAGAAUUUGUUUAUGAGAGUUGCACACCUCUGCGAUAUCCUACUGGCUCUGUUAAAGGUUCUUUCACAUUUGUCCCUGGCAGAUUGACAGAUCCAAAAGGAAGGCCAUUUGAAGCUGAAGUUGCCCAGUUUCCCCUCCAACUGCCAGACUACAUUUUCUGAUGAUCGUUCAGUUCACCAGGUUGAAAGUCCUCAAUAAAGAACAAGAGUUUCCUUGUUAAUAAAUGUAACAAAGUCCCGGCGUCUUGAAAAAGACCUUAUUGCAUUUUCUGCCGGGAAAACACAUUUCAUUACACAACUCCAAAACCAAAAUCCCAGUUCAAAACAACAUCUAGAAGCAGAAACUUUAGCUAAAAAGUGUCUCCAUGUCUUCCAAACUUCUGUUUUUUGCAAAUAGAAGAAAUAGAAGACCCAAACUACCAACGUGGAGCCCGCAAGGAGGAAAAAGCUAACUCCAUGACCCCCCUUGGUAGCUCGGGCCAUCUGUUUCUUCUAUCUGCCAAUGGAGUUGACUUCAUCUUCCUUGCGGGUUCCACUUUGGUAGCUCGGGCCUUCUGUUUCUUCUAUAAGAAGACAGGGAGACAGUCCUUGGUUUUGGAGUGUUGGGUGGUCAAGGUGCCAGUAGGAUCUCUUAACAUGAACAGAAUAAGAUGGUGAGGGUACAUGAAACGACACACCUUUCCUCAUCUUAUGUAAGGUUUAUGGAGGGAAUGUUAUUUGGAUAAA